UUCGAACCUGCCGCAGGUUCGGGUCUCACGUAGUGAGACAACGGAGCCGCUUGCGGCGACGGCCCGAAGGGCGAGCAAAGCGAGUCAUCCUGCACGACCCACCA
rnacentral:sRNA from 5 species